rnacentral:misc_RNA from 1 species
GAACUGGACGAUGUAGAUU